rnacentral:tRNA from 1 species
GGUGAUUCAGUGGCAGAGUGCAUGCUUUGCAUGCAUGAGGCCCUGAGUUCGAUUCCUCAGCACCA